GAUGAACGCUGGCGGCGUGCCUAAUACAUGCAAGUCGAGCGAACGGACGAGAAGCUUGCUUCUCUGAUGUUAGCGGCGGACGGGUGAGUAACACGUGGAUAACCUACCUAUAAGACUGGGAUAACUUCGGGAAACCGGAGCUAAUACCGGAUGAUAUUUUGAACCGCAUGGUUCAAAAGUGAAAGACGGUCUUGCUGUCACUUAUAGAUGGAUCCGCGCUGCAUUAGCUAGUUGGUAAGGUAACGGCUUACCAAGGCAACGAUGCAUAGCCGACCUGAGAGGGUGAUAGGCCACACUGGAACUGAGACACGGUCCAGAGUCCUACGGGAGGCAGCAGUAGGGAAUCUUCCGCAAUGGGCGAAAGCCUGACGGAGCAACGCCGCGUGAGUGAUGAAGGUCUUCGGAUCGUAAAACUCUGUUAUUAGGGAAGAACAUAUGUGUAAGUAACUGUGCACAUCUUGACGGUACCUAAUCAGAAAGCCACGGCUAACUACGUG
rnacentral:rRNA from 1 species